CGCCUGGAUAUUUGUUAUACGAGGAAUGCAACACACAUCCAUGGCUUUCCCUGUGUGCUCUUCCCCCACACCCAGUAUGAGAGCCAAGGUCAGGGCAUUAACCAGUGGUGAGGGGGACACUGGCUGUGCAGACAGGAGCAUAGGGUCUGCAGGGGACAACAGACCUGGUGUUUGGAGCUUUAUUGUAGGAGGACACACAGCAUAUGUCCACAGUUCCUACCAUUUGUGCUCUUUCUUCCCCAGUGUGAGUGCCAAUUGUCCAUUGGGUCCCUGUACCCUACUUGCAUUGAAGGGACCACAUGGCUCUUCCGUGAUGCCUACAGUCUGAAGAGUAAGAGGUACUGUAAGCGCCUCAAGGUGCUGUGUUCUGAGCACUCUUGGGAUCCCAAGGUGCCAAAGGAUGAGGUGGGCGGUUGUCCACUAGUGCAUAAUGUCUUUGAGUUCACGGGUAAUUUCUGUUGCCUCCCCAAAUGCCUGUGCAACUGCUACUAUAGCUGGGAGAAGCUGAGGCGUGCCGAGGUAGACCUGGAGCGCAUGCAGGCGGUGCACAUACAGAAAGAGAAUUGUGCCUCAGAAGCUGUACUUAAUGGAUGACACCCAGGAGCCUCAUCUGCACCUGGACCUAAUAUGGUGAUAAAAUUUUAGGCUUGGAGCUGAUACUGUAAUGAGAAGGGGAAUUUGGGCUUGAAGUCGCACAGCAGUAAAUUCUGAAAAAAACUUGACUUCACAGUGAGAUGCUUCCUGUUAGAAAAAAUUAUGAUGACCAGAUGGAGAAAUAUCAGGAACAUCCAAACAAACCUUGAAGUCAUAUUUCUUUCAUCAAAAAGAAAACAUUAAAACAAGAGAGAUUAUGGUUAUUACAAUGUUGUAAAAGUACUUCAAGUGGUUCCAAACAUCGUCCUCUGACAAAGGAGACCCUAUUAAUUUGAUUCACUUGUAAAGAAUUGGAAACAAAAUGUAGACUCACAUACUGAUAAUAGAAGCAGUACCACAAAUAACCUUGACAAGAUUAACAACCGACUGUUUUCAUGCAUAGUUCAUUCUGUAAUAAACAUGAAAAUAUUUGUGCAGGAGAGAAAUUUUAAAAUGCAAUCCAUGGAAAGGAAAUUCAUGUAGAGUGUGUAUUCACAAAACUCAUAGAGUGCUCUACGGUGCUACAAAGCACUCUAUGAGUGUGGUGAAUACACAAAGGCUCCAUCCAGAAGGCAACACUCAAGGUCCAACAGAGAAUUCACACUGGACAGAAACCUGACAAGUGCAGUGGCUGUAGAAAAGCCUUCACUGGGAUUUCACAUUUCAGGAAACACCAGACAAUUUAUUCUGAAGAGAGACAAUGUGAAUACGAUAGUCAAGUGCAGUGGUGUGCACCUAUAAUCCUACCUACUUGGGAAGCUGAGGCAGGAGGAUCGCUUGAGUCAGGAGUUCAAGACUACAGUGUGCCAUGAUCUGAUCAUGCCUGUGAACAGCCACUGCACUCCAGCCUGCGCCACAUAGUGAGACCCCGUAUCCUAAAAAAAGAAUUAUUGUGAAUGUGGUACAACAUUCAAUCAGAAAUCAAUACUAAAACGCAUCAAAAAACUCACAAGGAGAGAAACUUUAUGUAUGUAAUGAAUGUGGCAAGGCCUUCAACUGGAAGUCAAACUUCAUUUUACCCAUCAGAUGAUUCAUGCUGGAGAGAACCUUAGGAUGCAAUCUUGUGGGAAAUUCUUAACUUCCAAGCCACAACUCUUAUGGCAGUCAGCAAGUUUACAAUGAAGCCAAACUAUAUUUAUGAACCGAAUGUAGAAGUGCUUUCACCAAAAAAAUUAAGCCUUCUCACACACCAGAAAACUCAUACUGGAGAGAAACUCUGUAUUGACUGUGAGGACCUUUAGACAGAGGCCAGAGUUGAUUAUAUAUCAGAAAAUUCAUUCUGCAGAAAAGCCUUAUUAAUGUAGUGUCUGUAGGAAAUCUUUUGCUAGGAAAUCAUGCCUCCAACUGCGUCAGCAAAUUCACACAGGAGAGAAACCCUAUAUAUGUUCUGAAUGUGGGAAGGCCUUCACCAACAGUUCCACAAUGGAGAAAUGCUACAAAACUUGCAUUUAAGAUAAACCCUACAAGUGUAGUGAGUGUGCUAAGGCUCCAUUGAGAAAUCUGUUCUCAUUAUGUGUGGAACUAUUUAUACU